GAGGACAGUUCAGUGAAGGCGGUUUGUGAAGCCUCAACAGAGAGUGAAAAGCCCUGCCCCUAUAGAGCAGAACGACAGUUCUAUGAGUGUUCCCAGCAGUGCCCCGAUAUGGACCCAGCAGGGAGAACAGUUCAGUGUUUAUACAGUGCCUACAUUUAAUUCAUGCUCUAUUGGAAAAGGACAGGAACACAGCGGAUCAUAAUGAAGGCCUUCGUAUUGCAGAAACAAGACAGGUUACCCGCGCCUCUCC